rnacentral:rRNA from 1 species
ACGCUCGACACCUAGGGAGACAGCAGUGGGGAAUAUUGCACAAUGGGGGAAACCCUGAUGCAGCGACGCCGCGUGGAGGAAGAAGGUCUUCGGAUUGUAAACUCCUGUUGUUGGGGAAAAAGAGGAUGGUACCCAAACAAGGAAGUGACGGCUAACUACGUGCCACAGCCGCGGUAAUCUGAGCGGGCUGGCAAGGC